rnacentral:rRNA from 1 species
UAAUACGAAGGGGGCUAGCGUUGCUCGGAUUUACUGGGCGUAAAGGGCGCGUAGGCGGCCAUGUUUGUCAGGCGUGAAAUCCCAGGGCUCAACCUUGGGGCUGCGCUUGAUACGGCGUGGCUUGAGGCGAGGAGAGGGUCGUGGAAUUCCCAGUGUAGAGGUGAAAUUCGUAGAUAUUGGGAAGAACACCGGUGGCGAAGGCGGCGACCUGGCCUUGAUCUGACGCUGAGGCGCGACAGCGUGGGGAGCAAACAGGAUUAGAUACCCUGGUAGUCCACGCCGUAAACGAUGUGCGCUGGAUGUUGGGUGGCCUAGCCACUCAGUGUCGCAGCUAACGCGGUAAGCGCACCGCCUGGGGAGUACGGCCGCAAGGUUG